rnacentral:rRNA from 1 species
UACGAAGGGGCUAGCGUUGCUCGGAAUUACUGGGCGUAAAGCGCACGUAGGCGGCUUGUUAAGUCGGAGGUGAAAUCCUGGAGCUCAACUCCAGAACUGCCUUCGAUACUGGCGAGCUCGAGUCCGGAGAGGUGAGUGGAACUGCGAGUGUAGAGGUGAAAUUCGUAGAUAUUCGCAAGAACACCAGUGGCGAAGGCGGCUCACUGGCCCGGUACUGACGCUGAGGUGCGAAAGCGUGGGAGCAAACAGG